UGGUGGAGUGAUUUGUCUGGUUAAUUCCGUUAACGAACGAGACCUCGACCUGCUAAAUAGUAUCCGCGACCUCUCGUCGCGAGGCACUUCUUAGAGGGACUAUCGGUGUGUAGCCGAUGGAAGUUCGAGGCAAUAACA
rnacentral:rRNA from 1 species